UACGGAGGGUGCAAGCGUUGUUCGGAAUCACUGGGCGUAAAGGGCGUGUAGGCGGCCUGUUAAGUCUGAUGUGAAAUCCCCUCGCUCAACGAGGGAACUGCGUCGGAAACUGGCAGGCUCGAGUACCGGAGAGGAAGGUGGAAUUCCCGGUGUAGCGGUGAAAUGCGUAGAUAUUGGGAGGAACACCGGUGGCGAAGGCGGCUGCCUGGACCGGUACUGACGCUGAUGCGCGAAAGCGUGGGGAGCAAACAGG
rnacentral:rRNA from 1 species